GCAAAGACAACCCUUGCCGCCCAAGUUUAAGGGAAGUUGACUGCAAAGCAUAGCAAAAUUUUCCAGGAAAAGCAGCAGAGAAAAGGAAGCAACUUCCCAUUUCCACAUAAUAAACGAGUUUCCUAAGAUCAUUCUUCCCUUUAUAAUCAACAAUACUUGCUCAUUUUCCCUUGCACAAACAUUAAAGAAAACAGCAAGUAUUUAAUACCACAAUCAAUUUUUUUUUUCCUAUUUCAAGGCCAAUUCUUUUACCAAACUCCCCUAGAGCAUCCAUUUUCCAGGCUUGUCUAAUCCAGCAAUAUGGACACUGGCAAAUCUGCAGUAAACGAUGGUAGCAUUUGUCUGCCGGUUGUUGAGCUUCGCAGGCUCAGCGAAACCUAUGGUUCGGGCGGCACCAUUUUUGAGCCUCGCAGUAGUAUAGAGAAGAGAGACAGCGCUGCAAAUUCUGCUUCAACAACACCAACUACACCAGUACGUGCACCAGAGAAGAAACUCACCCUCUUUGCCCUUCGCCUUGCAGUUUUUGAGAAGGCAGCUACCGGCCUGGGAACCCUCGGGUUUAUCUGGGCAACAGUUGUUCUUCUAGGAGGUUUUGCCAUCACUUUAGAUACAACAGACUUCUGGUUCGUCACUAUUAUAUUGUUGAUUGAAGGAACUCGAAUAUUCAGCAGGAGCCAUGAGCUUGAAUGGCAGCACCAAGCCACCUGGUCAAUUGCUGGUGCUGGAAUCACUAGUUUCAGAGCAUUGAGAUCUAGCUCCCACUUUAUCAUUGAAGCUGUAAAGUCAAUUUUCAGGCGGAUUACUCAGGUUCGAAAGCAGAGUCAACAUAGAAGAAACGUGACGCAGAGUUCUGAUACAACCAACUCUACGAAUUGGGAUUGCCAAAGGAAGACAACUCGGACAUGGAGAAGCUCAGAUGUCCCUAUUCUACCGUAUGCUCAAUGGUUUUUCCUUAAAAGAAAUAUUAGUAAAAUUCUCUAUUGGCUUCAGCUUGCAUCUGCUACAGCCUGUGUAGCUUUAUCAUUAAUGAAGCUCAUCAAACAUAACUAUGGUGAGAUAGCGAAAGGGGAUACUGACAAGAGGAACAGACAAGCUGCUCUGACUAUUUUCUAUGCCCUGGCUUUGGCAGAAGCUCUGUUGUUUCUUAUGGAAAAAGCUUACUGGGAGUGGAAGGUGAUCUAUUGUAAACUGUUGGAGGAGGUGAACAAAGAGUGUGAAUUGGGGCCUUCAGGUAUGAUAUCAAUCAAAAGGUUCUUCUAUGAUGCUUAUUCUAGAUGUGUUAAUGGAAGCAUCUUUGAUGGCUUGAAAAUGGACUUGGUUGCUUUUGCUAUGGAUCUCUUGGCUUCAAAUUCCCCUGAUGAGCAGCUGAUUGGAGUUCAAAUUCUUUGCCAAUUUGCCAUGAGUGAGCGGUUUUCUGAUGAUACCCUCCAGAAGAUUGGGACAAAUAUAUCAGUUAUAGAAAGAUUAGUUGAGAUGUUGAAUUGGAAAGACCCACAAGAAGAAGUAAUCAGGAGGUCGGCCGCGGAAAUCCUAUCUGAACUAGCUGGAAAAAAGCAGAACUCCCUGCGAGUUGCUGGAAUUCCAGGUUCAAUGGAAUCAAUUUCAUCUCUACUCCAAACCAAUAGAAGCUCCAGCGCCGCAGCUGAUGAAAUUGGCGAAAAGACAAUCAUCACUGAUCAUGUACAUUACGGAUUCUGGACAUUCAAUCAUUUAGGACUUCUUAUCCUGAAAAAGCUAGCUCAUGACCAUGAUAAUUGUGGAAAGAUUGGCAAUACAAGGGGCCUCCUCCCAAAAAUUAUCGAUUUAACACACGCUGGAGAGAGAAUAUUGAAAGAUGAAAAUGUUGCACAUUCUCAGAUCUUGACAGUGAAAAGAUCUCUGCAAGUGGUGAAGAUGUUGGCAAGCACCACAGGUACGACUGGCAGUCAUCUUCGAAGAGAGAUUUCUGAGAUAGUUUUCACCAUCAGCAAUAUUAGAGAAAUCUUAAGACAUGGGGAGAAACGCCCAGUGCUGCAAAAACUCAGCAUAGAAAUAUUGACCAAUCUAGCACUAGAAGUGGAUGCAACAGAGAGGAUUGGGGGCACAGGUGGAGUUCUCAGGGAGUUAUUCAACAUUUUCUUUAGACAUGGAGCACCUGAGAGUCCAAAUCACGUAAGAAUUGCAGCAGGAGAAGCUCUAGCCAUGUUGGCCUUAGAAAGCAGAAGUAAUUGCCAUCGUAUAUUGAAAUUGAUGGUCCUAGAAAGACUUGUUGAAGCACUUGAGGAUCCAUUGCUUCGUGUGAAUGCUGCAAGAGUCCUACGAAACUUAUGUGCCUACAGUGGUGCAGAUUGCGUCAGCCGCUUGAAGGGAGUCACAGCUUCCGCGCCUACAGUGCUUAUGGCAAUUAUGUCAGAAGAGAACAAACUGCAAGAAGUAAUGGUUGGACUAGCCGCUGAAGUUUUCAAAUUCAUGAGUUCUCAGGAAUCAAGCAUGAUGUUCAAAAGGACAGGAAUUAAAGAGGCUGAACUAGCCAGCACAAUAGUGCAGAUCCUCAAAAAACAUGAAAAUCCAUCGACUAAGGUUCCAAGAAUUCGGAGGUUUGUUAUAGAAUUGGCAAUUUGGAUGAUGCGAGAAAACGCAGAAAAUGUACGUAUUUUUACUGAUUUGGAAUUGGAGAAAGAGCUGGAGCAUGUUUUAGAAACUACAGCAGAACUUGAAAGCUUCAACAUAUUCUCUGGCACAGUUGGGCUGAGCCGCCACAGCACAACUAUUCACUCACUGGUUGAAACUGCACUGAAGCUGCUGGAAGAAAGGCAAAACCAUGCAACAGAACAGUGACUUUUCAUAUCAGUACUCCAUAAAUCAUUACAAAUAAAUGAACUUAUGGCCUUGUAAAUAAGAGUGUACUAUGGAAAUUCGUUUUUUUAUUUUUUUAAAUCAAGUAAUUAUCACAUGGAGGUAACUGUGAUUAUGUAAAUAAUACAAUUAUUUGGAG
rnacentral:misc_RNA from 1 species